AAAUCUAAUAUACCCCAAUAGCCAUUUUGAGUAUCGGGUAUAAAAAAUUAGAUGACUUAUUGAUGCAUUAACAUGAGCUUGACACCUAUAUCAGGGCAAAUUAACCUUUGCUUUAUUUAUAAAUAAUUUUUUCUUAACCCAAUCUCAAUCACUUUUUUCGUUUUGGUGCAAACCGCUUACGCAGUCCGAUUUGGUUAUCGGAACGUUGCUUCAAAACAAUCAAUUGAAAAUAUAAAGAACUGAUGAGAAAAUGAAACAUAUCGAUACCAAAAAUUUGUGAAUUUGUGAGCCCCUUAAAACGAAAAGUAAACGUAUUGGCUGAAAAUGUAAUCUGCAAAAGUAAGUGAAAAGCGGAGCCUGGCUAAAAGAGACAAAGAAAGUCAAAAAAGUCCACGUAAAAACAGGAGGCGAAAAAUACCCAAAUCCACACAAUGUAAACACCGACAGGUAGAGAAGCCUGGUCCAGUUAUUUAAAAGACGCAAAUUUCUUAGACUCUUUCAGAAAAAAAAGAUCCCAAUGCAUCAAAAAAUCACCCCUACCUUAUAUUCAAAAAUCCAAAGAACAACUUAUUGAAACCAACAUCACAACAAUAUAACUUCAGUUCUAGCCUAUGAGGAAUCACUCCCGGUUUUGAUAGCAUCAGUUGUACAAUAUUAAAAAAUCUACCUGUCCAUCAAUAUGGAAGAGGCUUUCGACAGAGUAGGAACCCAUUGCAUUAUUGAACAACUCUGAAUGGAAACUAGGUUACCUUGGAAACAGAAGAUUCUGAGUACAAGUAAACAACACCUUAUCAGAAGAAAAAGGACUACACAACGGCAUCCCCAAAGAAUACCCGCUGUCAGUGACUCUUUUUCGUAAUCGCUUUUAAUAAAAUAAAUAUAAUAAGCCAGCACAAAUUUUUUACCCACACGAUGUAUCCUGAUAUCCUGACGAUCUCUGUCUUAUUUUCAAUCAAAAGCUGGGCUAUAAUAGAGAAUUAAGCAACAUGCAGAACACAUAAACUUUACUGGCACAAAAAUAUCCAGCGGAAAAUCUUUGCACCUAAAAAACCACAGAUGUAAAUUUAUAGAAAUUAAAAUAAAUGAAAUAAUGAAUCCAACAUUAGUAAAAUCAAACUCAUGUGGACACCGGGAAAUGAAGGAAUCAGAGGAACAUUAACAACAAAUAGGAAAUACGCUAUCAACUACACCAGAUUUAAAUAAGGAAACACAAAAUUUGAUCACGAGCGCCUAUUUAACAAAUUCUUACCGCCGCUUUGUCUAUAUUGCAAUACAAACACAAUUACCAUUGAUACCAUACCAAUUACCAGAAAAUCAGUCGAUAAAAUUGAUUUGUUCCUUCUGGCUACAUAAAUAAUCCGAUCUGAUUCAGAUUCUGCAGUCUAGAUAUGGCACUCUUUACGAUUCUGCGGACGACCAGACGGACAGACAGACUUGGCACUAUCGACUCGGCCACUGAUGCUGAUCACGAAUAUGUAUAUUUAUAGGCGUUACACACAUCCACUUCCCCCACAAAUUUAAUAUACACCUAAUUCCAUUUUUACACGGUUUUUUCACACGGUUUAAAAGUACACAUUUUUUAAUACGAUUUUAUUCCAUUUAGCACGGUUCAAAAUAACACAACACAAAUAGAUAAAACACACAGCUCACAAAGAGCUAGAAACCAAACGAAAACAAGAAAGAGCAUAAAGAGAAUAUUCGCCAUUUUUUUUCUCAACUUCAAACGCGAAUAAAAUGCUUAAAACUACAAAAAAA